rnacentral:tRNA from 1 species
AGGGAUAUAGCUCAGUGGCAAAGCACCUCCCUCGUAAGAACAAGGUCCUGAGUUCGAUUCCCAGUGCCCCCC